rnacentral:rRNA from 1 species
UACGGGGGGUGCAAACGUUGCUCGGAAUUAUUGGGGGUAAAGCGCACGUAGGCGGUCCUCUAAGUCGGGUGUGAAAGCCCGGGGCUUAACCCCGGAAGUGCACUCGAAACUGGAGGGCUUGAGUAUGGAAGAGGGUCUCGGAAUUCCCGGUGUAGAGGUGAAAUUCGUAGAUAUCGGGAGGAACACCAGUGGCGAAGGCGGAGACCUGGGCCAAUACUGACGCUGAGGUGCGAAAGCGUGGGGAGCAAACAGG